rnacentral:tRNA from 1 species
GUCGGGUUCGGGCCGGUUGAGUUGCCCGGCCACCCCUCCCGUGGGAGGCGUGGCUUCACCCCAAGCCGGUCCGGCAUCAACUGCCGGGCCCGGCAC